rnacentral:rRNA from 1 species
UACGUAGGGUGCAAGCGUUAAUCGGAAUUACUGGGCGUAAAGCGUGCGCAGGCGGUUUUGUAAGUUUGUCGUGAAAUCCCCGGGCUCAACCUGGGAAUGGCGAUGAAGACUGCAAGGCUAGAAUCUGGCAGAGGGGGGUAGAAUUCCACGUGUAGCAGUGAAAUGCGUAGAGAUGCGGAGGAACACCGAUGGCGAAGGCAGCCCCCUGGGCUAACACUGACGCUCAGGCACGAAAGGCGUGGGGAGCAAACGAGG